CACGUGACUUAACAUGAGGACCUCAGCACCUGCAUGUGGCGUUUUCCGUGCAUAGCGUUGUCCAUGCACGCGGGAUGUUGCGAGAUUUUCGGAAAGCGUAAAAAAUUACGAACCGCAGUUUUUUUACGCUUUCCGCGAAAGUCAAGCGAGAUCCAAAGUGCAUGGAUGACCAGUGGCGUAGUCACCGCCCCCUUCCCACUCCCUGGCAAAAUGCUGGGCCCCCCUUGGAAAAAUUCUGACUGGUCAUAUACAAGCAUGUGUAUUAUAUUUUCAUUUCUUCUAAUAAAAAUUCUAUAUCUUCCUAAGUUUUAAAUGUUC